rnacentral:rRNA from 1 species
GAUGAACGCUGGCGGCGUGCCUAAUACAUGCAAGUCGAGCGGAUCAAAGGGAGCUUGCUCCCAGAGAUUAGCGGCGGACGGGUGAGUAACACGUGGGCAACCUGCCCUGUAGACUGGGAUAACACCGAGAAAUCGGUGCUAAUACCGGAUAACACCUUUCUUCUCAUGGCGGAAGGUUAAGAGUUGGGAUUACUAACACUACAGGAUGGGCCCGCGGCACAUUAGCUAGUUGGUAAGGUAAUGGCUUACCAAGGCGACGAUGCGUAGCCGACCUGAGAGGGUGAUCGGCCACACUGGGACUGAGACACGGCCCAGACUCCUACGGGAGGCAGCAGUAGGGAAUCUUCCGCAAUAGACGAAAGUCUGACGGAGCAACGCCGCGUGAGUGAUGAAGGUUUUCGGAUCGUAAAGCUCUGUUGUUAGGGAAGAACAAGUGCCGUUCGAAUAGGUCGGCACCUUGACGGUACCUAACCAGAAAGCCACGGCUAACUACGUGCCAGCAGCCGCAGUAA